rnacentral:tRNA from 1 species
CCCUGGGUGGUGUAAACAGGUAACAUACUCAGCUGUUAACUGAAAGGUUGGAGGUUAGAGCCCUCCCAGAGGUG